UACGUAGGGUGCAAGCGUUGUCCGGAAUUAUUGGGCGUAAAGAGCUCGUAGGCGGUUUGUCGCGUCUGCUGUGAAAACUCGGGGCUUAACUCCGGGCCUGCAGUGGGUACGGGCAGACUAGAGUGCGGUAGGGGAGACUGGAAUUCCUGGCGUAGCGGUGAAAUGCGCAGAUAUCAGGAGGAACACCGGUGGCGAAGGCGGGUCUCUGGGCCGUAACUGACGCUGAGGAGCGAAAGCGUGGGGAGCGAACAGG
rnacentral:rRNA from 1 species